CCUAAACCAACCAAGGAUUGGGUUAAAUUAAACUUUAUAAGGUUGUAUUUAUGAAAAAAUGAUGUGUUAAGACAAAUUUUUAAAUGUCUUGUACUUGACUGAAUUCUUCCUGCUUUUAAUGGAUUAAUAUUUUUCCCCAUUUUAAAAAAAAGGUCUAAAAUAAUUUGUGGAGAUAAUAAUUAAGGCCACAGUAGUGUUUUAGAAUCAGUAAAGGAAAAUAGUUCUUAGUAAAGUUGCUCAAUAAGCCUAUAUUCUGGAAUCCCAAUACUCUGUUCUAGAACCUGUGUGUGGCCAUGGUCUAGAGGCAUCCGUGGGAGAUGUGCCUCAGGAACCUCCAGACACGUAAAUGCAGACUCUCAAGAGCAAUCUAUGCCUCCACCUCUAUCCCAAGGGAUAACCUUAUUUACAAAGUUUAAAAGUGGACAGUUGGGAACUGGAGCUGUGGUAAAGAUUCCUGAUCAGUCAGCUGACUGCCCUGCGUGCUUGGCGCUGGCCUUCUGUGCACUCAGGCUCUCCAUUCAGCCACCCCUGCUCCAGUGGGACAUACUGUGAUCUCAGCUUUCCUGAUGGAAGCAGACUCUGAAUGGCUCUGGUCUUCUGAAGAGGUCUCCAUCAGGAAUCUGAGGGGCUGUGAGCAGCCACUACGAAGGAGCCCAGACCAGCACCCGUCCUGGAUCCCACCUGCACUGUUGCGAGAGGUCCCGGCUGAACUGAAGCAGGCACUAUCACACCAGCUCCCACCUCAUUUGCUUCUGACACUCCACUCUUCCUACUGCAGACCUCUAAUCUAGUGCAUCUCCUGUCUAAUGGACUUAAUGUCUCCCUAAGUGGCCCCAACCCUCCAGUCUCUUCCUCUUCCAAGACUGCUUGUGGUCACAUACA